AUGACCUUUUUUAAUUUUAAAGCUUUUCCAGCCGGUCUUCAGACACACACUCAGUAAAUUCAUUGAUACUGACUCCACUGCCAGAGCAAAAACCAAUUCCAGUAAUUGAAAGCGGCAGCCAUGAGCAGCGGGAGACAUCAAGUCGUCCAAAGUCACCUGCGCAAGGAGAAGAAGAAAGACAAAACAGCAACCCAGUCGUGUAGGCGGCGUGACUCACAGCCAGCCAAUCGUCUUGAAGCACUAGUGACGUGUGCACGCUGUCUGACUGGGCAACGUGGCAGGCGCCCUCUAUAAAAGCCAUUUACCUGCUACAGCUGGGUACCUGUCUUCUGCUGCUAUCUACACAGAAAAAAUAUCAAACCCUGUCGGCAAAGUAUACAGCACAUUUAUCAUCACUACCACGUGACGUUGGAAAGCAUACAGCCAUGUCGCUGUUAAGACUUCUGAUGAUGAUCCUCAUCAUUGUGUAUCUGGUGAUGGUUGGAUAUGUACAGUCAAAGGCUCUUUCUGCAAAGUGCAGUAACAACCAUGCCGUGUGUGGCAUGAUGCCCUCGGGGUGCUGCUUCUAACCCAGCCAUGUGUUCUCCAAACAGUCCGAGACACUUUGUUUUGAAAAAGUUAAAAACAGAGAAAUCGUUACUUUAAGUUAAUCCUUCUUCUAUAAAUGGAAAUCAUGUUUGAAGAUAUUAAUACAGAUGUCUAAAAAAAUGUCGUUAAAAUACAAGUAGAGUGAUUUCUUUUCGACAGUGCUUAGUGUUUGAAGUAUAAGAUUUGAAAUGAAUUUUAAAA